rnacentral:lncRNA from 1 species
AUCUGGAAAGCGAGUGUGUUCUUAAUUUCAAGUAGUUCCAUGUGCCUUGGGACCAGAUAUCCGGAUAGAGAGAAACAGUAGUUUUCUGGGAAGCUAGGGUCUCCGUCUGUACUGUCCUGGUUCCCACACUGUCCCAAGUGGCAGAAUCCACGGGCACAAAUGACCCCAGGACCUAGCAUUCUUUAGUCAUCCUUAGUCAGUGCCUCUGAGCAGCUGCUGGGACGCUGGCUACAGGGAUUUAGGAAAUUGCUCACCAGCCUAAUUCCUUGUUUCCAGGGAUGGUCAGCCAGGCCUGCAAAACAGCAGUCUCGGCCCGGGCAGGCCACCUCUGGUCAGUGGUGGCCUCCUGCGAGAGAGCACCAGACGCUGUGUUUGCUUUUCCAUUUCCUUGAUUGGGUGGAGGCUGGGCCAGGCAGCUUGGACAGGCUGGGCAGCCCACAACUCGAUGUCAGAGAAGAUAAGACCAUCUAUCUUGUCAGUGUCUGUGAGCCAUUCUCAGCUCUCUGUUUGCCCAGUCAAGGCCUGUGCUCUUCUGCUGUAUAUGGCCUCUGCGUGCUAGACAACAAAUGGCCCCCUUUGCUGCGGCUCUGCAGAGGCCCUGUGUCCAGCUCUUCCUAUACCACGAGUGGGCAGUUUGGGAAUGCAGCCUUUGGUUUACACAAAAACUACACAUCACACGGGAGUUAGAUGGUGUGCUUGAGAGGAGUCUACCCUUAAAGUUGAUAAACACAGAUAAACACACGUAUGUGUGUCCGUCUAUGCCACAAGGCUUGGGUACAUUAGGUAAACACCACCGGAGUUGUAUCCCCAGCUCCUAUGGCCAUUCUUUGUUUUUUUUGUUUGUUUGUUUUUCGAGACAGGGUUUCUCUGUGUAGUCCUGGAACUCACUCUGUAGACCAGGCUGACCUCAAACUCAGAAAUCCGCCUACCUCUGCCUCCCAAGUGCUGGGAUUAAAGGCAAGCACCACCACCACCUGGCUUUCUUUGUUGUUUUUGAGACAGCAUUUCCAUGUAGUUUAGGAUAGCCCUCAGAUUUCAAACUUCAUAUGAAGUUGAGGGUGACCCUGAACUCCAGAUCUUCCUGCCUCUAUUUCAAAGCGCUAGGAGACGUUAGACCUGGCUACAUUUUUGGUAGUUAUGGAAUUUGAACUCAGAGCCUUACAUAUUGUACUACUGAGCUAUAGCCUCAGCUCAUUUAUGCUUUUACUUUGAGACAAGAUCUUGCUAAGUUGUCCACAGGCUGGCUUUGAACUAGCUAUGUAACCCAGCAACUUGAGAUCCUCCUGCCUCAGUCUUCCACAUACCUGGGGUUCCAGGUUUAUACCACCAUGUCUGACUCCAACAUACACUCUUAGUUUUUCUUGAUGUAUACAUAUAGGAUGGUGCACAUUGAGGUGGGGGGAGUGCAUGUACACAUUCACGUCGUAGAGGUGAGAGGACAACCGCAGGUGUCAGCCUCAGAACCACUGUCUCCUCUUUGAGAUGGAGCUACCUUUGGUUUGAUGUUCACCCGUUAGGCUAGAUUAACUGACUGGUCAGUGUGCUCUAGGAAUCAUCCACCUGUCUGCUUCCUUGGAGCUGAGAUUAUAACCCACACAACCACAGCUAACAUUUUUAUUUGACUUCUGUCUUAGUUAAGAUUUUACUGCUGUGAACAGACACCAUGACCAAGGCAACUCUUAUAAGGACAAUACUGGCUUACAGGUUCAGAAGUUCAGUCCAUUAUCAUCAAGGCAGGAUCAUGGCAGCAUCUAGGCAGGAGGAGCUGAGAGUUCUGCAUCUUCAUCUGAAGACUGCUAGCAGAAUACUGACUUCCAGGCAGCUAGGAUGAGGGUCUUAAAGCCCACACCCACAGUGACACACCUACUCCAACAGGGCCACACCUUCUCAUAUUGCCACUCCCUGGCCAGAGCAGGUUCUGUGGAAUAAACUGAGAUGAGUACUUUAUUAACAACUAUGGUCACCCUCAUACACAUUUUUAUUUAUUACUUACUCAAAAGACAACUCUUAGGGGUAGGUUGAUAUUCAUCUUCAUUUUGCAAGUGAGGAAGCUGAAGGCAGAGUCUUAGAGUUAGAAAGUAGAAGAGCUGGGAUUUGAACCCUCAGAUUAUAGACAAGUUACUUUCCCUAUGGUCACUCCUCUCCAAACCCAUUGGCCUUUGUGCAUGCCCCACAGGCACACAUACCCCACAGAUUACCUUCUGGAUGUUUAAAACUGCUGCAGGUAGUUCUUACGGAUAAGCCAUGACCAGUAACCUAGGUAAGGCUUUAUGAUAAGCCUCUAAUUGGCUGCUGGCCAGCGCCUAUCCUCUUGGUACAAGCUCUUCUGAUCAGUUUUACUUGUGGACGCUGUCAUACCUAUAAAGCCCUGUUAAGUUCAUCUCAUUAUUGCAAUUCUUCAUAGGUACCUGCUACCAUAAAAAAAAAAAAAAUCACCUGUCCUUUCAUGCUUGUCAUUUGAAAUCCUAAUUUAUAUAAAUUCCUUUUGUCCUUUGUGGUUUUAGGUCCUACCUGAUCCUCCCUCCCACUGUGACCUUGGGGGUUCCAGGACAAGUUUCAUUCAGAUCCCCUCCUCAUUCCUAUCCAGACAGCCUUGAUACAUAAAUUUAACUCUAGCUUUGCCCAUUCUGCUAUCUUGCCUGUGGACUCAUCCCUUCUGCCCUCCUGUGACUGCCUCCAGGGUCUCGGCCAAUGCCUGUGCCUCUGAGUUGGUGCCACAGAGCAGCUCAGUACAUGUAACUUAAAAGGAGCCUGAGGUUGAGCGACAGGAGACAGAACCUGGGAGACCCAGACAGUAAGAAUGGUUUGUGUGGACUCAGAGGCAGAACUCAGAAACACAGCCAGGUGAAAGAGAGGGAGGGUUGGGAAGGAUCAUACAAAGGAUGGAAGCCAGGCAGCGGUGGUGCACACCAUUAAUCCCAGCACUUGGGAGGCAGACAGUCGGAUCUUUGUGAGUUCAAGGUCAGGCUGGUCUACAGAGCAAGUUCCAGGACAGCCGAGGCUGCACAGAGAAAUCCUGUCUCAAAGAACAACAAACAAUCAAACAGUCAAACAAACAGAAAUGAGUAGAGUGGAGAGGGGGGUGGGGAAGGGGAGGUGAGGGAGGGGGAAUCAUUCCCUUAGGUUAGAACAAUCCUUAGCUCUCUGCAUGGGAAGAGCCUUCAGAGAUCAGCCAGUCCAGGAGUGGCAAAGCACUCAUAAGCUCUAGUGGGAUGAGCCUGCAUGCACCCUGAGAAGAGCAUGCUAGUGUUGGUUGGUAAUGUCUGCUCUGGGCACUGAAUUGGAAUCAGUGGUGUAUACACUGGAAUGUCACGAAUUUGCUUCAGCUGGCACCUUUGCAAAGUAGAACAACGAAGAGUCUAGGGUAGGGUAUCUAGCUAAGGUUUCAACCCUACCCUGCUCUUUUGCAAGAGGGACUUGUGUAGCUGAGGCUGCCCUUGAACUCCUGGUUCUCCUACCUCUACUUCCAAGGUGAUAGGAUUACAGACUUUUGACAACCAUACCCAAACUGGAAUUUCCAAAUUUAACACAGACAAGGGACUUGGGGAAUAUAGUGGAUUUGGGUACCUAGUGUGUGAUAAUGGUCGGUGAGAGAGCAGACAGCCCGCAGCUGUGGAGAAGGUUGUAGCAUGUCACAGACCAGACGUGGGGCAAGUGUUUCCACUGAGUGCUAGCUCACUGGACUUGCCUAGCAUCUGCCUCUGCCUUGUUUAUUUCACUUCUGAUUUCCCCAUCUUGGUCUCCCCAUAGAAGAAUAGGAGGCUCUUUGGAGCAAGAGCUUCCUGUAAACGGAGUCAAAACUACAGUUGAGAGGCGAGAAGACAGGGUGGGGAUGGGGAGAAUAGGCUUGCACAGGGAUGGCACCCGUAUGCAGAGACCCUGGCAGUGUGGACUCUGAAAGGAGGCAGCUAUGGAGGAGCAGGGCAGAGAAGAGCAGGGACCAUUAAGCCAGAGUGUCCUGGCUGGAGGAUGCAAAUGGGACUAGAAGGUCCAGGUACUCAGGACUGGCCCACCUUUAAAGUUGGCUCAUGAGCCUCUGCCCUCUUCCAUUCCUAUGUGGGCUAUCUUCCUCUCCAGUCCAUCUUUCUCUUCUCCAUGUCCUUGUCCGCAUCCAUACCACAGUGCCUCCUGGGUAUAUGGUGAGAAUGGUCCUAUCAGAGUUAAGCCAAGGGGCUGAUUGAAUCUAGAUUAUGGGGCUAAGGCUAGGCAAAGAAAAUAGGCUUCGAGAACACUCUAGAGCAGCUCAACAUCCCACCAGCUUUCUGUAAGAGAAAGUAGGCCUAGAGAGGAGGAGGCUGCCAGUGUCAGUAACCAGGUUAAACAGUCACUGUGAUAUGCCCUCAGACUCUCAUCUUCCUGCAGGAGAGCACUCCCAGAUCCUGCCCACAGAACUGCCCUUCAUCAUGUCUUGUUAGAAAGGCCUCUUCGACCUUACCCCUGGAUAGAUACAGGAUUGGAUCUGGCUCAUCCAUCCAUGAACCACAAGUCACUCAAUAGAAACAGACCCAGUGCCAUCAGCUGAGGGCCUUUCCCUGAUCUCUUAGGGAAAAGGUGUUUUGUUUUCUGCAGAGUUUGCUACUGUAGGAAAUUUAAGUAUGGGCUGCUUAGAGCAUUUGGGGUUCGGCUACCCAGAGAGUAAAGCUAACACAAAUGAGAGCAGACCUGAGUCGAAGAGACAGAUGCCCAGUAACAUUGUCUGAAUGCCCUGAUCCAGAUACGCCUGAAACCUCUCUCUGAGUUUGUUUCCAGUUAUGUGGGAAAAAGCUUAAGCUGUCCUGAUUUGGGUUUCUGUCUCUGUGUCUGUCUGUCUGUAUCUCUGUGUCUGUCUCUGUGCCUCCAUCUCGCUUCCCUGCUCCCCACCCCAGGCUCGCAUGUAGCCCAAGCUGGUCUUAGACCCUCUAUGUAGCUAAGUUUGAUCUGAAGCCCUGCUCCUCCUGCCUCUACUUCCCAAGUAGGGAUUAUAGACAUGUGCCAUCACGCAUCGCAUGGUUUUAUGUGACGCUGUGGCAGGCAAGCGCUGCACCAACUAAGCUACAUCCUCACCCUCUUCACUCGGAUUCCUAACUGUUUACAUGCAAGAGGCUGUAGAUCAGCCUAGAGAAACAGGGAUAGAGAACUUAAAGAGAGAAGUAGCUGGCAAGAUGAGGAUCAAGUCUGAGGAGACAGCAGAGGUAUGUGUUUGGGGGUGGGUGGGGGUAUAUGUAUGUGAGUUUCUGGUUGGGGGUGGGGACCUAUUUGGAUUACUGAGCUGACAUUCCUGAACCAGGAGGACGAGAGCUUACUGAAAAGAACACGGGGCCAAGGAGGAUUUUUUUUCAGAGAAGCCUAUCCAAGAUGGGUGUCUCUCCAUGUGAUGAUAGCUGUCCAUUCGAGCCCCAAACCUGUACAGGUGGUAGGACGACAUAGAACAAGAGGAAGACAGUGUCAGCUGGAGUGUAUCUGGUCAGUCAGCACUUGGUUGCAGUUUGCAGAGCAUGUGCUCCUAACCAGUUUCUAAAGAGGAAGGGAAAUAUUCAACAAAUCCCUGCACGCCUCAUACUCAGAAUGUCCCGCUCCUUAUCAGAUGUAACCGGAUUUCUUCCGAUGUACAGUAUACAAAACUCAGCGAUAGACACCAGAGGCCUGGGAAGAACGGAAUGGCCCGGGGUUGCCUCGUUCUGAUGCAUCGUGAGGUGGCCCAGAGAGAUGACCUCAGCACUCCCCUCUGUAACGGCAAAAACCUCCACUGAUUAUGGACUCGACGAAGUGAACUCUGGGGCCCCCAACCAGGGCAUCGUCUGCUGAGACUACCUCUGGAGAUGCCAGGCCAGAUGGGGAUGAUGGGAGGAAAUGGUGCCCAGCACUGAUAAGCCACUCCCUUCCUUUGUCCCAGACGCACUUCAAUGUCUGCUAUGUCUUUGCAUUGGGAAUCCUCAAGGGAGAGACAGAGAACAGACAGACAAACAGGGUGGAGGGGCCUCUUCCUGGUGCCAGGGAGCCUCUUUACCCCUCCCCACCUUUCCUCACUUCCUCUCACUGGGGAACCAUGAAAACCAUAUAAAGAAACCUCAGCUGUAACAAUAAAAUGCAUAUAUGUAAUACAUGUGCACAUAUAAAAUAUUUGUGAAUGUAACCAGUAGAUAACAUUGUUAUUUCCUUCUUUGGUUUACAGUCUGGCCUGUGUCUUCUCAAAGCCACAUAGUAUUACACUUAUUUCCUCCCUGGUUGAUGGCCAUUGAGGUUGCUCCUGAGUUUCUGCUAUUGCAAACAAGAACAUCUAGACACUGCGCAUGUGUGAAUGUUUCUAGAGGAUUCAUUCCUAGAGAAGAGAUUGCUGGCUCAAAAUGCCUAUGAAUUUUUCAUUUUGAAAGAUUGUGCCAAGUUAGAGUGGAGACCUUUUCCCUGUGACGGAGCCUUCCAUCUCUGGGGCUUAACUAGAGAUGAAAGAUAUCUCGGCCAGAAAGAGCACAGGGUUUCCAUUAGACAAGGGCAUGUUCUAGUCCUGGCUCUGCCACCUUCUCGUGUGACUUUGACUAAAUCACUUAAUCUCUGUCUGUCUGUCUGUCUGUCUCCUCUUCUUCCCUCCUUUUGUCCCUCUCUCCCUUGUGUGAUAUAUGUAUGGUGGGCACAUUUUGUAGCACAUAUAUGGAGUUCAGAGGACAACCACAGGUUGGCCCUUUGAAGCAGGAUUUCUUUGUCAUUCACCAUUGCAUAUACCAGGUUAGCUGUCCCAGUACAGAACAGGCUUUUGACCAGCAUAUGUUCUAGUUCCCUAUCUGAACUCUCUAUAUCCACCAUGGCAAACCAGCUCUGGAGAGAGGCUGCCAAAGAUACUUAUUAGUUGUCAUUGCAGAAGUCAGGAUUGCACCAAGGUCUUUUCCCUUCAUGGUCUGUUCAGCUCAGCCACUGCUCAGGAGGAAGGGGUCAAGAGUAGAACAAUGGCUGGGUUUGGUGACAGGGAAUGACCAGAAGCAGUCUACAUAGAGCAUGGAACCCGAACCAGUAAAGGAAGUACAGCAAAGGCCUGAUGUCAGCAGCGGAGGGCAUCAGUGUUAGGAGCCCAAUUCAGAGGGAGGGAUUCGGAGAAGGGGUCUGGAAGUCCUUGGUGACAUGGCAGCAGCAGAUCACCUCCAAAGUCCCCGUGGGGACCCUCAGCUGCAGAUCACUGUACUCUGUAAUCUCCAGGCUUCCUGUGGUAUCAGAUCCAUUGUCUUCUGCCCCUGGCAGUGUAACGGGCCAUGGGACAAGCAGACCAGGCUGCUCUUCCUGGAAGAGAGUGCAAAAACUGCUGGCAUGGGAAUCAGAGGGGUGAUCCAAAAUGGUGGAGCCGAGCAGCUUUGUGAGAGCAGUGCUGGCAAAGUCUCCAGAAGGUGGAGUCGUGAUGGGUGGUGAUCCGUGGGCUUGGCAGUGGGCCUGAGAAGCACGCUCUGAAGCCUGAGUCUGGACAGGUGGUUCUCAUUCCCAGACCCAUCCAGUACAUGCUCUGAGGUUCAGGGGAGUCAUGCAUUCUUUUAAAUAUCAUUUUCUUCCUUGGUAAAUGAAGAUAGCAACCUCCCCGGUGCAUAGCUCCAGAGGCUGGGUGUGGUGGCUUUGCCUGUAGUCGGCACUCAGGAGGCUACGGCAGGAGGAUUUGGAAUCAAGGCCAGUUACAGAAUGAGAUUCUAUCUCAAUUUAAGAAACAAAAACGGAGCUGAGUGGAGUGUGGUGGCUUACAACUGUAAAUCCCAAGACCAGAGAGAGGCUGACAUAUGAGGAAUAUGAAGAAUUCAAAGCCAGCCUGAGCUAUAUAGUAAAUUCUAGGUUAGCAAGAAAUGCAGAGUGAGAUUUUUUGUCUCAAAAACAAAUAAACAAGCAAACAAAGACAAAACAAACAUCCUAAAAGAACCCAGAAAAAUCAGGAAAGUAUAAAGGGGCCUUGUUGGGAGGAAUGGGGGGAGCAAUAGUGAGGGUGGAUUUGAUUGGAGACGUGGGAAAAAUGGGGGAACUCUAAUGGCAGGGGAUUGUGGAAGAGGAAAGUGGGUAAAAUAACAGGAAAAAUGUCUGAAAAAAGUCACAAGUAUCAUACUAUUCCCCAUCUAUCUAAAAGUCCUUGUAAUAGUUGGAGGUUAAUAAUAAACAUACAGAUAACAUUUAAAUGAGCAGUUUGCAUCUGGCCUGACAAUGCUUUCUCUAAGAUCCAGAUACCAUGUAACAAAAACUCCAACACUAGGUGUGAAAAGGCCUUUUCUGAAUUGUUGGUCAGGGUUGUCCAAGAGACUCUCAAAUUGCAUGCCACUGCUAUUGCCCUCAGUUGCCCCCAGAGGAGGAAGGUAAGUCUCUAUUGAUGAAGAGACCAUGCCCUUCAGACACAGAGUUCAGAGACCCCUGAGCUGAGAAUGAUCUGAGUGAAUGCUUCCUCUCUGAGGACUAGUUUUCAUGAUGCCAUUCAAGCUUCCAGUGGAGAAAAGUAUCCAGGUUUAAAAUGUAAAGAAAUAAUGCAAUAUAAAGAAAAAUCUAGCCGGGUGGUGGUGGCGCACGCCUUUAAUCCCAGCACUCGGGAGGCAGAGGCAGGCGGAUUUCUGAGUUCGAGCCCAGCCUGGUCUACCAAGUUACCAAGUGAGUUCCAGGACAGCCAGGGCUAUACAGAGAAACCCUGUCUAGAAAAACCAAAAAAAAAAAAAAAAACAAAACAAAAACCAACCAACCAAACAAACAAAAAAAAGUAUCCAGCUAUCACACCCAUGAUCCACAACAGUAAACACCUGGCACGCAUACCUUAGCAGUAACCAACAACUGUCUAAUUGGACUUAAGACCUACCUGUUUGCAGGGUGGUGGCUCACACCUUUAGUAACUCACCUGCCUUUGUCCUGCUUCUGUACCUGCAAGGGUAGCUGCUCUGCUCUCCAAUCAAAUAGUGAGAUCAUGGUCUUAUUCUUGUAAAAAGUUCAUAAUAUCCUGUCACGCUUGUCAACAGCUACCACAUCUACAUCAACAGAAAGUACCCAACAUAUAGGGGUUGUCUCUAUAAACUUCCUGCUUUACUGACUUGGGGCCACCUCUUUAGACUUGUAGCCACAGGAGAGUGUGCCGUCCCCUCCCCCCUUCCCGUGUGCCUCCCUCCCUUGCCUUGGUCUGUGUGGCUCAAUAAAAAUUCCAAAUUCAUCAAGAGCUUAUCCUGGUCUUUUUCUCUUGGGUGAGAGCAGCCUGGCUAAAACAUCAUCAAGGAAAUUUCUCUUUGCAACAGAUCGAGACCAUUAGAAAAAAGCCACAACCAAUCAAAAUGCAGAGCCCUGGAGCUCAGACCCCAGGGUCCAUCUAUGAAAGAACCUGGCACCUAAAGUUAAGGGAUUAUUACACAAGAGCGGGCAGAAAAAUGAUAAGAGCCAGAGGAACAGAGUUUGCUGUGAGAUUGUCUCCUUGGAAAGUCAGAAGCUACCUACCCUUGUGAAGUUCCAUCAACAACCACCUAAACAGGCACUGGAGGAGGACAACACUAGACAUGCUAACACUAACAGGGCUAGGGGAAAGCCCAAGAACCACAGCCCUCGACAAAGACCUGCAGGCAACAAAGGACUGGAGUGGGGGUGGGGGUGGGAGGGCCUAGACUUCCCCAGGGAAGAGCUUACCAAUUGAUUAUCCCAUACUGAGUGGUCAGCCCUGAAAACAUCCAUACAAGUAACAUUAUACAGACUGAGCAAGUUGUAUGCAGGAAUAUGAAGUGCUUGUGUGCGUGCUUGUGUGUGUGUGUGUGUGUGUGUGUGUGUGUGUGUGUGUGUACAAUUAAUAAAAAAGAAGGUCAUGUUGAAUGUCUUUAAUCCCAGCAUCCAUUCAGAAGGCAGAGGCAGGGAGAUCUCUGAGUUUAAAGUUAGCCUGGUCUAGAGAGAGAGUUCCAGGAUAGUCAUAUCAAAAACAAACAAAAUACAAACAAAACAAGAACCAAACCAAACAAACAAAAAAGAAAAAGAAGAAAAAGAAAACCAAAAAGAUCAAGGAAUGGUAUAUGGGAGGGUUUGGAGAGAGGAAAGGGAAUGGUGUAAUUAUCCUAUAAUCUGGAAAAAUAAAAGAAAUGAAAACUUAAAUCCUAGCGAGUCAGCAUUAGUUGUGUACUCAGGAGACAGGGACGUGAGGAUCAGCAGUGUAAGUCUGUACUCUGCUACAUAUGGAAUCUGAGGCCGGCCUGGUCUAUACAAGACUGUGUCUUUAUAAAAAAAAAAAAAAGAAGAAAGAAAGAAAGAAAGAAAGAAAGAAAGAAAGAAAGAAAGAAAGAAAGAAAGAAAGAAAGAAAAAGAAAAGAAAGCGGGUAGUGGUGGCGCACGCCUUUAAUCCCAGAGGCAGGUAAAUUUCUGAGUUCAAGACCAGCUGGGUCUACAAAGUGAGUUCCAGGACAGCCAGGGCAACACAGAGAAACCCUGUCUCGAAAAGCAACAACAACAGUAAGAAAGAAGAGAAAAAGAGAGAAAGAAAGCUUUUUUGUCAUGCCUUUCUCUCUGUUGAUGGUUAUUGCUGGUGCUGGAAAUGGAACACAGGACCUUGAAUAUUCUGAGCCAGUGUUCCACCGCAGAGCCACCCUGCAUACCAACAGCAGAUCUUAUUAAUAAGUUCACACUAAGAGUGGCAUCAACCCUUGUAUGAUUGCUCAUUGCUGUAAUUUCAAUACUUAAGCAAUAGAGUCAGGGGUUCAAAACCAACCUCAGCUACAUAAGUCUGAGACCAGUCUGAAUCACAGGAGUCCCUCUCUAAAUAAAUAAGUAAAUAGAGUAUUCAAGUUGGUGGGCUUUGAGGAGGUGACAAAGCAGUUUUGUUUUGUUUUGUUUUGUUUUGUUUUGUAUUUUUAUCUUUCCAGAGUUAUCUGUGUCUUUUCACUGUAUUGCUUGGUUCCUGAUUCCUGGACACUGGAGUAGCUGAAUUUUUUCUGGUUCUUGCUUCCAUUAGCAGUGUCUCACAGUGAUGUCUUGGCCUCCUGCCCGGUCCCCACUCAUAGGUUCUGGAACUGAACUUGCAGGCCCCAGCACACACACACACACACACACACACACACACACACACACACACACACACCAGCUUAAGACAGGGCCAGGGCUUGCUCAAGGCAAGCCAUCAAGACUUGCAUGGAAGCCAAAUGUUUUGUCUACUUCCCUGACUGCAGUACCUGGCAGGCCUGACUCAACCCCAGAGGUACAUAUCUCUCUGAGGUUAGAAGGAUGUCAACCCCGUGCCUGUGGUGAUCCGGAGAAAGAAAGGGCAGGGUAGAUAGGGGAACCUGCCUGGGAUUGUGCUUUCCCUAGAUGGUCCUUGAUCCUGGAACGGAAAUGCACCCCGGAGCCACUUAGCUUCUGCCUCCUCCCUCCCAGGCCUUCAGGGUUCUCUCCAGCUUGCCUCACUCUGAAAGAUGGACGAUGGUCAUCCUAAGAGAGCCAACAUCAAGAGCUGUGGUUUUCAACCUUCCUAAUGCUCAGUGCGACCCUUUAAUAACAGUUAACAUGAGAAUGGUAUGGUGACCCUCCUCCCAACCAGAAAAUUAUUCUUGUUAUUUCAUAACGGUAAUCUUGCUACUCUUAUGAAUCGUAAGGUAGAUAUCUAUGUUUUCCAAUGGUGUUAGACCCCCUGUGAAAGGGACCAUUCAUCUCCCCAAAGGUCGCGUCCCACAGUUUGAGAGCCGCAGAGCUAGAAUAAGCUUAGAGUCAAAAAAGGAGGAAACAGUCUGUCUCCUUGGAAACCGAAUGAGGCUAGGCUAAGUGUUUGCAUAAAGCGAGAGGGCAGUGCUCGCUAGUGACCUCUAGUGGGGGAGUAUCAGAAGAGAACUGCUUUUCUAGGGGUCUUAGGAAUUACUGCGCUAUGCUGUCUUAGGAGAGAUGGGUGCAGAGGAUGCUAGCUAGCUAGCUCCCACAGUUCAGUUUAGUAGCUGAGGAAACGGGGACCUGAGAGAGUUUCGCUCUUGCUGCUAGGGAGAGGCUAAUCUGGAAUGGAAACUCAUCCUGCUAAGUGGAUGUUUUGUGGUCCUUCCCAAGGUUCCCUAUCAACCUCCACACACAGGCGUGACUGUCUCCGUGGGGUUGAGGCCCUGACUCCAUGCCCUAGUCUCUCCCACACUCCCCAACACUCCAUCUCUCCUAGCUCCUCCAGUCUCCUCACGCUCCUUGCUUCCUCCCCUUCCUCUUUGGAAAGCAGCCACGGGCUCUCUCUCUCUCUCUCUCUCUCUCUCUCUCUCUCUCUCUCUCUCUCCUAUCUGAGGGAAAGAGAAUGGUUUUAAUCCUCUACUCCCCAGGUCCUUCCAUUCUCUCAUCCAUCCAAACCUAAGCAUCUUUCUCUUUCUCUCCUCCCACUUCCUCCCUACAUCUUGCCCCCCCUCUUGUUUAUCCAUCACUAGAAGCCACCCCCUUCUCUCUUGCCUGUAGGUUCUGUGGCUAUAAUCAAAUCAUAACUUUUAUUAAAUUUAAGAUUACUUUUUAAUGGAAUCAAUUUCUUGUGUGGUGCUUCUUUGCCUGCCCGCGGGCUCCGCCGGCUCUGCGCUCAGCAUCCCCACCCUCACAAUUGUCUCUGCCGCUGGCGUUUCUAGCUAAGCUGCCUCCCAAAGAAGGGUAGGGCUGCCAUCCCUACACACACCACACAGAAACACACACACACUCGCAAGCACACACAUAUCAAGCUGCGCCUUCCUCAAAGCCCCAAACACACAACCUCGAAGCCCCAGGCGCCCACGCUGGAU